GCAGUGAUUGCCGAGUGGUUAAAGUGUUGGACUCGAAAUUCAAUGUGUUCUCCCCGCGUAGGUUUGAACCCUGCUCGCAGCG
rfam:Salmo salar isolate Sally breed double haploid chromosome ssa21, whole genome shotgun sequence.